CAGUGACAUAUUACAAGGAACCCGUGUGCUUUCGGACUUCAAGCAAGUCUUAGGAUCUCAACGCACUGACAUAAUUAUUCUUUUAUGAGCAACAGAACGAUACAAGCCUCACAUCUCGGUGGUGAAAUGCCGCACACUGAAUGCUUAUUCACGGCCAAGAGCACGAAAAUUGACUGAAAGAAAGAACUGGCCUGUCAUGAAUACCACUUCAUCGACUGCUGCACAAGGCCUGCUGCAAAUCGUUCCGAACGAACAAUAUAUGUGGCAUGAAGAGAUAGUGCACAUGCAAUUGCGAAAUAAACAUAUAAAGCGAGGAAGCUUACGUUGAA